UCACCGUACGACUGUUCGAAGCCCGACUUGUACACCGUAUCUGAAGGGCUGAAAUCACACAAUUAUUUAGCGAACGCCAGCUGCGACUCCAGCCAGCAGAGGCCAGCAGCAUCUCUAGGUGUUGUGUGAGCAUCUAUCCACCGAUAGGAGCAAUGAAAGCCAUGAAAGUGUGACGCGUGUGAUUUGUAUGCAUGCGCUACGGUCCAUGGCCUUGUGUAUGUGUUACCUGCACCGUUUCGGCGUACCGCCUCUGUUACGCGGCGCCGUUUGUCACUUAUGCGCAUAGAUUCGCUCGAGCCGGCGCCCAGCGCGCCACGAGUACCGCCCGCAUCGUCUCCACUGAGGACCAUGGAUGUGCUGCCUCGGUGGUGACCAACCGUGUUCUUAGCGCUGCGUGCCGCCGAGUUUGAUUUCCUGUCAAGUUGGCGAGUGUGACCCGCACGUACGAAGCCAUGGACGAUCCGCUCGUAACGCGGGUCAGCCCCCGGGCCAAAGUCCUGUCCGCCCUUUUCUACGGCAUCGUUUCGUUCCUCAUAAUUAUCAUCAACAAAGUCGUGCUCACUACCUACGGGUUUCCAUCGCCGCUUUUCUUGGGAGUCGGUCAGAUGGUUAUCACUAUUACCCUGAUAUGGGCAUUAAGGCAAGCAGGGUUCAUAGAUUUCCCAAAUAUAUCGUUCGCCACCUGCGCCAAGAUACUGCCGCUUCCAAUAUUCUUCGGAGCCAAUCUAAUAUGUGGCCUUGGAGGCACACAAAAAAUUAGUUUACCGAUGUUCACGGCAUUACGUAGGUUCUCAAUUCUCAUGACUAUGAUCGGCGAAUACCUAGUGCUGAGGAAAAAGCCUCAGACGGGCGUCGUGAUCUCUGUGUUUGCCAUGGUGGGAGGUGCAAUGAUUGCUGCCUGCAAGGACCUGUCCUUCGAUCUUGGCGGCUACACACUAGUCCUGCUCAAUGAUUUUUUCACUGCGGCCAACAUCAUAUGCGUUCGCAAGGUCGUCGAUGCUAAGGACCUCACCAAUUAUGAGCUUCUCUUCUACAAUGCCUUGCUCAUGGUGGGACCUCUGGCUAUUAUGUCGUGGGCUGUUGGCGACUUGAACAUGGCGCUGGAGUUCCCGCAAUGGCUGGAGCCCGGCUUUCUCGGUGCCUUCCUCAGUUCCUGCCUCAUGGGCUUCAUGAUCAUGCAUGCCACGGUGCUCUGCACAGCAUACAACUCUGCCCUCACCACCACCAUCGUCGGCUGCCUAAAGAACAUAAUGACCACGUAUGUUGGAAUGUAUGUUGGUGGUGACUACAUCUUCAACCUAUCCAAUUUUGUCGGCCUUAGUAUUAGUGUUGGCGGGAGCCUGCUGUAUUCCUAUCUCACCUUUGUUCAGAAGCAGAGCGUGCAACAGAUACCCACGACGCAAUCAAAAUCGCACGAGGAGUCCGGCCAAGCCUCAUUCUCCAAAUAACCAUGGUUGCCCGGGCUGCUGCGACGCAAGAAAUAAUUUUAAAGAGCAUGCGUUUUUCGAGCGUUGCGACUUUUUAACUUUAUUAAACUUUCAAACGUGUUUUUCUCAGUUCCUCAUUUUGUAGCAUUCUUAGAGUUUGUGCACUAAAGUUUGUGCACUUUAUGCAGUCUGAUCACAAUGAAAUUUGGCGUGCUUAUUUUUUAACAUGUCCUGGAUUCAAAGAAACAACACUCGGAGCUUUCCAGAAAUGUAUUCAGUAAGAUAAUUUCAAAAGUUCCUUCGUUGAGAAUGGUAAAACUGAAACUCAGCGUUAGAAUUUUUCUCUAGAAUAAAACACAAAUGUUACGCUCUAUUUUUUUUGCUUUAUUGAAUUCUACUAUUCAGUGGGAACAAUAUGAGCAAUUUUUUUUGUGUUUUCCUGUGCUCACUGUUAUCGCCUAAGCUUGCACGAAAAUGCAUUGUUUUUACAAAUGCAUGGUGUGCAAAAAAUUAACCAAAUGAGAUAUCAAAAAACUAAAAACAGGUUUGAAAAGAGCAGCUCCAACUCUGUAAAUGGUGAAAGUUUCAUUAAGAUUUCACAAAUAUCAAAGGAAACGUUUUUCCGAGUAGCAUCUGUGCUUAAAGGCACAUGAAAGAGGAAUAUAGUUUGAGUUGUAUCAGUAAGUUAGCUUUCUAAAACAUGAAAAAAAAAAUUAGCUUCUCUUAGUUUUCUGCACCAGCUCGCUGUGAUAUCAUAAAUGUUUUGAUGACAUCUGCUCAGGCCUAGUUAAUUGUUUUAUCGGUAAAGAUGGACUACAUUGUGUUGUAAAGGAGCCAAAGACUGAACUUGACAAGUUUCAACAAGUUUGACUAAGCCAGAAUGGCCGAGGUGUUGAAAUAUGCUUUAAAAUCUGCGAUAUCGCACUCACAUACUCGCAUAGGGCUUUCGGCGCGAUAUUCAAAACAUGUAACUUUGACCUUAUUAUUUCCUUCUAAUAACGUGUCACUGUGAAAUGAACAAAAAUAUAGUUUUCAAAGAAUUCUUUAUCAGUCUUAAACUGAUUCAUUCUUUCUCUUUAGUGUGCCUGCUAACCACAAGCUCUGCUAACUCUGCUCUGCUAACUAUGCCUUCUUUUCCCACUAGCUUUUCCCACUAGACCAUCGCUGCCUUUCUUGAAGGUGUGGCUGUGAUGACUGUCCCUGAUGUGCCGUCAUUUUCGGUCAUUGAAGAUGUGUUUCUGUUCUUGUCAUGCGACAGAACACUCUUUUGAGAUUUUGACACCACUGAAGAAAAAAAAGAAGGAAAGGGAGCAUAUCAGAAUUAAUUCACUGUAAACGUUUCGGAAACUUAGGUGCUCGGGUGUGGUGAAUAGUAAUAAAGUGACAAGUGUGCCUUCCAUAUAUAUCUCAGUGGAAUUAUCGAAGUUGUCACAAUAUUCAUGAAAUGCGUUAAUUUAUUUUGCAUCCCACAAUUUUUCCUUCCAGUGCUUCCGAAUUGAAAAGGUCAGUUCACUGGUGUGGUUAGCCACAGAACAAACAUAUUUCAUGUAGAUAUGGAUAUGGAGUCAUAAAUGGCAAUACUGGCUUAGAACGACCAACAUUGUAGCCUUUGAAAUCUGAGCUUUCUUAAGUCUUCUCUCAGGGGGAGGGGAAUUGGGAGGAGACCAAUUGGGACAUCGCCUAAUAAUAGCGGGAUGACAAUUUGCACACCAAAGGCACACUAGAAGAUCCAUCAUGCCAUUGUGAUAACCUAACACACCCUAAGAAUGCACAUUCUUUAGCUGAAAGCACAACAGAAGCAAUGUCUUGUAAGCUUGUUAUGCUUCAAGCAACAGCGAUCUCUUGAGACAAAGUGUUUGUGCUUUCUGCAAUAACUGAGCACUUCUUGAACAUGAACUGCAUUGCUCAGGUGGUUCUCCUGACAGAUAUCAAUAGAGUUGCAGGGCAUGACAUUGCAAUUAUAAGGUAUAAUGCCUGUAGCUGUAAGGUGUAUGUGAUAGUUUCAUUAGUAGUAAUUUCAUUAGUAGUGCAUCUGUUACAUUCUUACUGUCUAAAAACAUCGGAGCCAGUUCAGAGAUGCCACACCAGGAAAUGACACUGCACAUUUUGUGAUAUAACAGUUCUGUGUGUUGAGAUUGUGGGAGGAGCUUGCUGUCCUGUUUAAAGCCUUACUGGAAAUAGCUAUUACAGCAAGGCAUGUUAACUACUGUACCAUGAUUUUGCUUUGGCAGCUUGAGUAGCGAAACAAAAGCAGAUUUUGUGAGACUAGAAGUGUUUUACCUUGGCUCAUUGAAAUUUCAUUGCAGGAAAAGAAGUCGCGCUAGAAGAUGAGGGCUGUCUGCUUUCUAGUACUGUUGUCAGUGAUAUCAAAGAUUUAAAGGACUCUCAACACUCUGCUGUUGAAUUUUGUGAUACCCACAAGAUGAUGCCUUGGACAUAAAGUUGAACAACAAGUAAACAAUUCAAAUCCGGUGCAUGCACUCCUUCUGGAACCAGUGUGAAUUUUUCUAGAUCAAGGAGCCUCGUUUUCAACUUUUGUGCCAUGCCGAGAGCUGUUGCAGGCUUGCAUUUUUUUUACUGUGUUAGUCUAGAUCCAAGCUCAUUUGUGCUCCAUUUGGGUGCACAGAGACAGCCACUUUUGCGGUUUAUAUACAUUCUUUACAUAUAACCAAUUGCUGAAGGAUCUUGUUUUGCAGUCUGCCCUUUUGCAUGUCUGCAUUGUUGUUGCCAGUAGUAAAAACGAUGUUGAAACAAA